rnacentral:rRNA from 1 species
CCCCUAGAUGUUCUGGGCCGCACGCGCGCUACACUGAACAGUUCAACAAGUCUUAACCUUGGCCGAUAGGUCUGGGUAAUCUUUGAACGCUGUUCGUGAUUGGGAUAGACCUUUGCAAUUAUGGGUCUUCAACGAGGAAUUCCUAGUAAACGCAAGUCAUCAGCUUGCAUUGAUUACGUCCCUGCCCUUUGUACACACCGCCCGUCGCACCUACCGAUUGAACGUUUUAGUGAGGUACUCGGACUGAGCCUCAGAAGAUUCACGUCUUUUGUGCUGCUCGGGAAGAUUCCCAAACUUGAGCGUUUAGAGGAAGUAAAANUCGUAACA